CUUCAUCAAGUACACUUGAGGUCCGGAGUUUUUACAACAACUGGUUCUUCAUCAAGUACACUUGAGGUCCGGAGUUUUUACAACAACUGGUUCUUCAUCAAGUACACUUCAGGUCCGGAGUUUUUACAACAACUGGUUCUUCAUCAAGUACACUUGAGGUCCGGAGUUUUUACAACAACUGGUUCUUCAUCAACAACUGGUUCUUCAUCAAGUACACUUGAGGUCUGGAGUUUUUACAACAACUGGUUCUUCAUCAAGUACACUUGAGGUCCGGAGUUUUUACAACAACUGGUUCUUCAUCAAGUACACUUCAGGUCCGGAGUUUUUACAACAACUGGUUCUUCAUCAAGUACACUUGAGGUCCGGAGUUUUUACAACAACUGGUUCUUCAUCAACAACUGGUUCUUCAUCAAGUACACUUGAGGUCCGGAGUUUUUACAACAACUGGUUCUUCAUCAAGUACACUUGAGGUCCGGAGUUUUUACAACAACUGGUUCUUCAUCAAGUACACUUGAGGUCCGGAGUUUUUAAAAC